GCGCGGAUGGCGGAAUUGGUAGACGCGCUAGCUUGAGGUGCUAGUUCCUUUACAGGAGUGGGGGUUCAAGUCCCCCUUCGCGCA
rnacentral:tRNA from 1 species